GAUGAACGCUGGCGGCGUGCUUAACACAUGCAAGUCGAACGGAAAGACGCUGCUUUUGUGGGGUGCUCGAGUGCCGAACGGGUGAGUAACACGUGAGUAACCUGCCCUUGACUGAGGGAUAAAAUCAGGAAACAGGGGCUAUUAUCGGAUAGAAGCUCCUGCAGCAUGGUGGGGGUUGGAAAGUUUCGGCGGUUGGGGAUGGAUUGGAGGGUUAUCAGCUUGUUUGUGGGGUAGUGGCUUACGAAGGCUUUGACGGGUAGCCGGCCUGAGAGGGUGAACGGCCACAAUAGGACUGAGAGACGGAGCAGACGCCAACGGGCGGCAGUAGGGGAGAAUAUUGCGCAACGGGCCGAAGUCUGAUGCAGCAACCCCGGGUGCGGGAUGCCGGGUUACGGGUGAUAAACCGCUUUCGACUGUGACGAAGCGGGAGUGACGGUAAUGGGUAAAGAAGCAACGGCUAACUACGUG
rnacentral:rRNA from 1 species